AUUGGCCAUUGUCUCCUAGGUUUCUUAUAGUCUAGAAUAAAUCAUUUUUCAUUACAUUGACUUUUGACAGGCUGGACCAGAUGUCCUACCCUUUUGGAAUUGUCUAGUUAUUUAUUUGUAGUAUGACAUUUCUUUAUUUUAUUCCUGUAUGUACAUCAAACUUGAAGUUAGAUCUAAAGUGUCAGUCAAUUUAAGUGAAACAUUUUAUAUCUUAGGUAAUGUAUACUUCAUGUUGCAUCUUAUUAGAUGUUUUUAAAGCUUUAUAUAUAUAUAUAAGUUGAAUCUUGUUGACUUUCUCAAAAUCCUGAGGAAUCUGCAGUGCAUCAACAUCUCCACAGUAGGUACCAUAAAUGGUUAACAGUUUCUGUAAGGCAACUUUGCACUAGCCUAUUUUGAGCAUAGAACACAACUUUGAAGAUUAAAUCCCAUCCAGGGACUGAUUGGUAGAAGACAACUAGUCAGGGAACAUAGGAGGGAAAUACUUAAUUGCCAUAAAGUGGGUAGAUACCAGUCCACAAAUAAUUCUAAAUUAACUACGAAUAUGCUGUUUCAUGUUUGUAGACUCAUAGAUGUUUUGUGUUAUUAGUGGCUGUUCUGGAUUAUAAACUCCCAUGAGAGGUUAUUUUAAAAUCAGAAUUUUUAAUUUUUAAUAUUUAUCACUACUGCUUAUAUCCUCACUUUAACCUACCUAAUGCUGUUUCACUCAAAUGUCUUUUCUUUCUUCCCUGUAACAGUUGUGCAGAAGAUUCUGACCUUAUUUGAGGCUUACAUAUAGGUUUGGAGAUGUGGAAAGGAGUGGAAAAAGAAAUAUGUAAGCUGAAGUGCCAAACUCACACUGAAAUAAAGGGCAUGGCCUACCAGCUGACAAGGAGUGUCUGGUUUCAAGAUGGCAAAUGACCCUAAACAUGAUAGACAAAUACGUUUUACAUAGGUACAUGCACAGAUAGGCACAUAUAAAUCCACAUUUGCAAGCAAAAAGUGGAACCUGUAAAGCAGAAUUUCUGAGGAAUCUCUAAAAGACUAAUACUAUAUGGAAUUUGAAGAGGAAACCCAGAGCAGAAGCACAUAGUGAAGUACUGCCACAAAGAUGUGUGACGCCACUAAAGGUGCUCUAGACCCACAAGAAAGGAAAACUGGGAGCAGGACAACUAUCUGGAUAUUGACUGCACAUGCCAAUAUCUCAGUCAGACUAACAGAAUCAGAGCUUUAGGCAGAGAAAUGAAUGGUUGGAGAGAGAAGGCAAUGCCCAGGUGCCCUGCUUUGAAAUGUCCCGCCCAUCCCCAAAUUAGUCUGAAAAUUUCAAAUGUUGUAUAAAUUCCCUUCCCAUCAAAAGUGUCCCAUAAACAGCAGUGGUAGAAGAGUUUUAACUGAGUAUCACAGCUUCAAUGAUGAGUAUAGAAAACUCCAAAAAUCUGAAUACCAACACAAUCAAAAAAGAGGUACAAACCACAAGUGGAAGAACCAUCUCAAGAAAUAAUGAAGCAUUCAUGGAAUACAGAUUAGCAACUCUUUAAAACAGUAUUGCCAAGAGAAACAGAUGGCAUUGCAGUUGUCAGAUCUCAUUAAGGUCUUAUAUCUGAAACAGUUCCACUGUCUUCCAUAACUUUCAUAACUUUGAACAUUUUGGCUCAUAGGCGAAAGGGAAUUGCCUUAUUUCGAAUGAGACUUUGGACUGUGGACUUCUGAGUUGAUGCUGAAAUGAGUUAAGACUUUGGGGGACUGCUGGGAAGGCAUGAUUGGUUUUGAAAUGUGAGGACGUGAGAUUUGGGAGGGGUUGGGGUGGAAUGAUAUGGUUUGGCUGUGUCCUCACUCAAAUCUCAUCUUGAAUUCCCACAUGUUGUGGGAGGGAUCGGUGGGAGGUAAUUGACUCACGGGGCCAAGUCUUGCUGUUCUUGUGAUAGUGAAUAAGUCUCACAAGAUCUGAUGGUUUUAAAAAGAGGAGUUCCCCUGCACAAGUUCUCUCUCUUUGCCUACUGCCAUCUACGUUAAGACAUGACUUGCUCCUCCUUGCCUUCCACCAUGAUUGCAAGGUAUCCCCAGCCAUGUAGAACUGUAAGUCCAUUAAAUCCUUUUUCCUGUAUAAAUUACCCAGUUUCAGGUAUGUCUUUAUCAGCAGCAUGAAUAUGGACUAAUACAGAAAUUAAAAUGAUGCCUGACACAUAAUUGCUUAAUAAAUAUUAGCUAUUAUUAUUUGACAUU
rnacentral:lncRNA from 10 species